AGAGUUUGAUUCUGGCUCAGGAUGAACGCUAGCUACAGGCUUAACACAUGCAAGUCGAGGGGCAGCAUUGGAGUAGCAAUACGUUCAGAUGGCGACCGGCGCACGGGUGAGUAACACGUAUCCAACCUGCCGCUUACUCGGGGAUAGCCUUUCGAAAGAAAGAUUAAUACCCGAUGGUAUAAAGAGUUCGCAUGUUCUCUUUAUUAAAGAUUUCGGUAAGCGAUGGGGAUGCGUUCAUUAGAUAGUUGGCGGGGUAACGGCCCACCAAGUCUACGAUGGAUAGGGGUUCUGAGAGGAAGGUCCCCCACAUUGGAACUGAGACACGGUCCAAACUCCUACGGGAGGCAGCAGUGAGGAAUAUUGGUCAAUGGACGAGAGUCUGAACCAGCCAAAGUAGCGUGAAGGAUGACUGCCCUAUGGGUUGUAAACUUCUUUUAUAAGGGAAUAAAGUGAGGGACGUGUCCCUUUUUGUAUGUACCUUAUGAAUAAGGAUCGGCUAACUCCGUGCCAGCCGCGGC
rnacentral:rRNA from 1 species